rnacentral:rRNA from 1 species
GACGAACCGUGCGAACGUUGUUCGGAAUCACUGGGCUUAAAGGGCGCGUAGGCGGACUGCCAAGUCCGGGGUGAAAUCCUCCAGCUUAACCGGAGAAUUGCCUGGGAUACUGGCGGUCUUGAGGGAGGUAGGGGCACGCGGAACUUCCGGUGGAGCGGUGAAAUGCGUUGAUAUCGGAAGGAACGCCGGUGGCGAAAGCGGCGUGCUGGCCCUCUUCUGACGCUGAGGCGCGAAAGCCAGGGGAGCGAACGGG